UGGACCCGCAAUGACGUCGACCCGGGGGAUUCAACCAGGCCGUUGCGAUCGGGACGCGUGGGGGUUAUGCGGAGCUGUAAAGCCCGUGCCUCUGCGUGGGUCUCCGGGCGGACUGGUGCACUUUCCUCGGGUUGAUUGCCACGACCGGCUCUCCGUGCGGCCACAAGCCUGUCGCUGGGAAGGUGACCGUGGGCUCCGCGCCCGCGGUGUUAUAGACCAGCUUGCUGGUUGAGCUCGUCGGAGGGCCGAGGAAGUUGCCGUUUCUCAUCACCCUCUGGCCAUCCUUGCUCGUCACGACUGGGGUGAACUGCUUCGUCAGUGCUCUCCCGACCGCGAGCGUAGGAAGGGCUGGUACGGUGCGAGAAUUGCUUCGGGCCAGUGGCGAAUCGGUCGGUCCUCCACCCGACCCGUCUUG
rnacentral:rRNA from 1 species